rnacentral:lncRNA from 1 species
GAAGUACAGAAAGGUUUUACUGCUGCAUAUCCAACACAAUCCUCCAUUCCUUUUAAAUCUCAAGCUUCAGUAAUCCCAGAAUCAGAAAAAAAAGGAUUCAAUAGUCAAGCCAAGAGAUUUCCUCAUAAGAAGAAUGAUAUCCCAGGACCUGGGUUCUACAAUGUUAUUCACCAGUCACCGGUGUCCAACAGUGUCUCAUUGUCCAAGAAAGGAACUUGCAUGUUUCCCUCAAUGGUGAGAACCACUUCUCUUGAGUAAAGCAUUAACUGUGCGCCCGAUUGGACACCAUCAUUUCUAAAUACCCUGCAGCGAAUGCAUACACUAUCCCAUCGGAUUUUAUUUCCAAGAGAGACUUUAGUAAUUCGUGUUCCAGCAUGUUCCAGUUGCCAAGCUUUAUGAAAGCUCUCAAGUUUGAAACUCCUGCACCAAACUAUUACAAUGCCUCUGUCUCUUGCUGCAAGCAGAGAAACAACGUCUGUACUCGAGCCGGGUUUAUGUCAAAAACCCAAAGAGGAUCUUUCGCUUUUGCUGAUAAAGGACCUCCCCCAGGGCAUUAUGAUAUCAACGAAUCCCUUGUGAAGCAGUCGCCAAAUACAUUAAUGUCUUGUUUUAAAUCAAAAACCAACCGUGGAUUAAAACUGACGUCAACAGGCCCGGGACCUGGUUAUUACAACCCCAGUGAUUGCACAAAAGUUCCAAAAAAGACUCUUUUCCCGUGAGUCCCAAUCAUUCUGGUCUUUCUUUUGAAAGGUGGUUGUGGGGAAGAAGCCCAACAUAGAGAAAAGGAUGGGGUGUCACUGCUUGGCAGAGCACAGUGCCGGGCCACUCUCUUCAGGGGCCCUUAGUCACACAUAAUGAUGCUCAGUAAAUGCCUGUUGAAUGCCUGAUACUUAUUGAGCAACCACUGUGUGCCAGGAACUUAAAAUUGUAUUCAAUUAUUAUUAUAAUCCUGUUGUAAGAAUUGUUACUCUUACCCCAUAGAGGAGGAAGCAAGGCUUCGGAUUUGGCGGGACAUUUGCCCAAGUCCACACAGCCAACUUGAGGAGCCACAGGGAAUUGGCUCAGGACUAAGUCUUUCCUCAUUCCCUGUGAUGCUGGAUUCCCCUGGUGCUGACAUUGUUCUAUUUUUGUAACAUAAAAUCUUCGCUGGAGUGGCAGGACAUUCAGAAGCAGUCAAGCUCUCAUAGCUUUAUACCGAUGGAAGUUUAAGCCCUGACUUUCGAGUUGGUGAUACCUGCUGGAUUUGUACUUCAGCUCUGCUGUUUUUAUGCUCUGUGACCUUGGGCAGAGUUCUAACCUCUCUGAGCCUCCAUGCCCUCAUCUGUAAGGUGGGAAUAAUUCCUGCCUCGUAGGAUUUUGCUUUCAGAAUUAAAAAUACAUGUUUGGCUGGGCGCAGCAGCUUGCGCCUGUAAUCCCAGCACUUUGGGAGGCCGAGGUGGGCGAAUCACUUGAGAUCAGGUGUUCGAGACCAGUCUGGCCAACAUGGUGAAACCCUGUCUCUACUAAAAAUACAAAAAUUAUCCAGGCAUGAUGGUGCACGCCUGUAAUCCUAGCUACUCGGGAGGCUGAGGCAGGAGAAUCACUUGGACCUGUGAGGCCCAGAUUGUGGUGAGCCGAGAUUGCGCCACUGCACUCCAGCCUGGGUGACAGAGUGAGACCCUGUCUCAAAAAACAAAAAAAGUAAA